AGUUUUUGAUCCUGGCUCCGUUAGACGCUGGCGGGAUAUGCUUUACAUGCAAGUCGAACGGCAGCACGGACUUCAGAUGCAGGUGUUGAGUGGCGAACGGGUGAGAGUAAUGUAUCGGAACUGUGCCUAGUAGCGGGGGAUAACUACUGCGAAAGCGUAGCUAAUACCACAUACGCCCUUCGGGGAAAGCAGGGGACCUUCGGGCCUCGCGCUCCAUUAGAGCGGCCGAUAUCGGAUUGGCUAGUUGGUGGGGUAACGGCUCACCAAGGCGACGAUCCGUAGCUGGUUUGAAGGACGACUAGCCACACUGGGACUGAGACACGGCCCCAGACUCCUACGGGAGGCAGCAGUGGGGAAUUUUGGGCAAUGAAACACGAUCCAGCCAUCCCGCGUAUUGCGAUGAAGGCCUUCGGGUUGUAAAGCACUUUUGGCAGAAGAAGAAACAGCCUGGGAUAAUACCCGUGCAACUGACAGUACAGAAUAAGCACCGGCUAACUACGUGCCAACUGCCCAGCCGCGAAGCAAUACGUAGGGUGCAAGCGUUAAUCAGGGUACUGGGCGUAAAGCGUGCGCGGGCGGUUCGGAAAGAAGAUGCUUGAAAUCCCAGAGCUUAACUUUGGAACUGCGUUUUUAACUACCGCGAGCUGAAGUGUGUCCAGAGGGAGGUGGAGCUAGCGAUGUAGCAGUGAAAUGCGUAGAUAUGCGGAGAACACCGAUGGCGAAGGCAGCUCUGGGAUAGCGCGGCGUAUACGAAAGCAUGGGAGCAAACGGGAUUGAUACCACCGGUAGUCCACGCCUAAACUGAUGUCAACUAGCUGUUGGGGUCUUCGGAGCCUUGGUAGCGCAGCAGCAUCAGAGUGACCCGCCUGGGGAACUACGGUCGCAAGAUUAAAACUCCGGAAUUGACUGAGGACCCGCCUGACGGUGGAUGAUGUGGAUUAAUUCGAUGCAACGCGAAAAGCACUGCCGCUUGACAUGUACAGAUCCCGAAGUUUGCAGGAAUGUGCUCGCAGAGAACCGGAACACAGAGUGCAUGGCUGUCGUCAGCUCGUGUCCGCGAGAUGUUGGGUUAAGUCCGCAACGAGCGCAGCGCCGUAUUGGAUUGCUACGAAAGGGCACUCUAAUGAGACUGCCGGUGACAAACCGGAGGGAAGGUGGGGAUGACGUCAAGUCCUCGCGGCCACACUGGGUAGGGCUUCACACGUCAUACAAUGGUCGGGACAGAGGGUCGCCAACCCGCGGCCAAUCACAGAAACCCGAUCAUCGGUCGGAUCGCAGUCGCUCGGCGUGAAGUCGGGGCUCGCUAGUAAUCGCGGAUCAGCAUGUCGCGGUGAAUGCGUUCCCGGGUCUUGUACACACCGCCCGUCACACCAUGGGAGUGGGUUUACCAGAAGUAGUUAGCCUAACCGUAAGGAGGCGAUUACCACGGUAAGUUCAUGACUGGGGUGGGGAAUCGUAACAGGUAG
rnacentral:rRNA from 1 species